GACGAACGCUGGCGGCGUGCUUAACACAUGCAAGUCGAACGGAAAGGCCCUGCUUUUGUGGGGUGCUCGAGUGGCGAACGGGUGAGUAACACGUGAGUAACCUGCCCUUGACUUUGGGAUAACUUCAGGAAACUGGGGCUAAUACCGGAUAUGAGCUCCUGCUGCAUGGUGGUGGUUGGAAAGUUUCGGCGGUUGGGGAUGGACUCGCGGGUUAUCAGCUUGUUUGGGGGGUAGUGGCUUACCAAGGCUUUGACGGAUAGCCGGCCUGAGAGGGUGACCGGGGUCAAGGGGCCUAAGGGACGCAGCAGUAGCGUACCUGCCGCAGUGGUCGGGAGCAUGACGGAGUAAGGCGACGUGUGUGACGAAGAUGCUGCGAGCGGGAAGAUGGGUUUCGGGGUAUGAACAACUGUGUCAGGAAAUGUAGCGUGCGUGACGGUACUUAGUAAGAAAGCACCGGCUAACUACGUG
rnacentral:rRNA from 1 species